UAGGAAAUGUCAUGAGAUGCUACCUCAUUUUUUAUUAAUCAGUUAGGUUCUAAGCCCCCUGAAGGCAGGCUGUGUCUUCUUCAUCAUUGUACAUCCAGAGCCAGGUGCAAUGCCUGGCGCAUAAGAAGAUAUUCUGAUUUAGAAACUCUUUGGUUGCAAAUAGCAGAGUCCCACUCAAGCUAGUAUAAGCAGAAAAAUGAAUUUAUUGGAAGGAUAAAAGUGUCUCAGGGAACUCAAGGAUGGGAAAGGAAGUUGGGCUAACAAGGAACUUGGACCAAAAAUUAGAAAAUGACCAGGAACCCAGCAGUUUCCCUCUGUGUCUCUCCAAGGCUCCGUGCUAUCUUUCUCUUUGCAAACUGGCUUUCUCUGCUCCAUGGGUGCAUGGAUGUCCCCAGCCCAGGUUUUACAAUGCUUUCCACUUCAAACGCCGCACAGAGAUUGAAUAUCAUCUGGAUUCUGAAUUCCCAGGGAAGAGAAAAUUCGAUUGGCUUUAACUCCUGUCAGGCAUUCACUCCUGGGCCAAUCAACUGGAGCCAGAGGCGGGGGAAUGGGAUCACGUGGCCUGCUGCUCAAGAGACUGGAGUAUCUCUUUGCAAUAUGAAGGUCUUAGCUCAGAUUCUCCCCUGAAAGCUCACCUUGAGGGAAGGGCAUGCAUGAAAGUAGUUUGGUUGGGAAGAGAUGCCAGGGAACAGGAGAAGGGGGAUUUGGAAGAGUGGAAUAGGGAGGAGGGAAAGCCAGUCUACAGGUGUGUUAUUGAGCUAAUGACUGAUGUGGGCAACUGAGGCUUAAUACACAUCUUCUGAGAAUUGUGUAGAACGCAACUCAGAAACGCUUUCCUGAGAGCAGGAGAGGGAAGAAUUUAUCCAUCAGCUCCUGUCCUCCACUGCUCAAGGGUGGCCCAAAGGGGUGUUGACUCCAUCUCUUUUCCAGUUUUGUACGUUCACCAGAAUGGCUCAGACAGCAGAAGGAACGUGGUGCAGCUGAAGCAGGGAGCUAUCAGAAUACACCUGUGGGCAGGUGAUUUUCUGCAGCAAUAGCUAGAGCCAAAGAGGGGCCAAGAGGAUGUGAGAUGGAGCAAAAAAAUUCCCUGGCACAGGAGGUGUGGGCAGGUUGUUUAAGAAGAGAGUAUAAGUGUGGGUGGAAAACAAUUCAUAUCUCUAGUCUCUGCUCAAUGAAUGUUUUCUGAAUGAAUAAAGCAACGAAAAAUGAUGAAAGGUUCUUGGAGGAAGCAAGAUUUUAAGAUCCCCUUCAGUGUCUGAAGGCUGAGUCUUGUCGGGGGCCAUGUGGAUAAUAAUCAUUGAUUCUCAAGUAUUUUUCUACUGAGGAAUAUCCAUUUUGUUGAUGUCUGUGAUGUUAUAAGGAAGGUAGAGGACUUUUCCUCCAUUUGGGGAUAAGGAACAGACCUGGAGAUGCUGAGCACUUUAGUAGAGGCGCACAAUGUCAGCAUCAGGGCAAAGUUAGUUUUCACUCUGCUUUACCUGCUGCAAGUUAUAUGGCUGCAGUUAGACUACAAGCAUAUGCAAGUACCAACAUCACCUCUCUUUUUGUACUCUCUCCUCUGUGUAUAAUUCAGCGCGGUGAAUGCAGUGGUUGUUAAAACCUAAAGCACUUUCUAACUUAGUUUCAUUAUGAGUAUGAAUGCAACCCUCAGGACCCAUCCCUAUGGCCUUAACCAAACUUAGUCUUUCAAGCUAGGAAUUGACGAGAUAAAGAUCUGAAUGGAGACUCCAGUUGGCGGAGGGCUGGGCUGACUCAGCCCCGAUAAACCUGCCAUAAGGAAAUCAAUACAGCUUUUUCAGAGUUGCCAUUAUCCAACAAGGAAAAAAUUUCAAAAAUAAAUUGCGGCGUGGCAUAAAAUCAGAUUAAGUAGAUAAUGGGUUUUGCUGACUUCGGGACCCUGUGGGGGACGAUACAGGAGGGAAAGAAUUAGUAAUUUGACGAGCUAAAGUCUCUUCCUGCUUGUGCUAUGCAAGUGUUUAGUCUUUGAACAAGACAGGGAGGACAAAGGCAAGAAAACAAAUUCCAGUUUCUAUUUGAAUUUCACCCCGAAGCUGACCCAGCCCUGCCAUCUAGGGUCGGCUCACUAUUGGUGGGGAACUGGCAGAGCAGUUAACUGCUCCGGCUUUGAAGUCAUGGGUUUUAACGAGCCUUCAUCGUGCUGUGUGACAUCAGGCUGGUUAUUUCAACUGUCUGAGCUUCAGUUCCCUUAUCUUGAAUUAGGCUGUCCACUGACUGAGGCAGGAAGAGAGUUAUUCCAUAAGGGAAAUUGUUACAAUGUUGGGAGAAGAGAGAAUGGAUGUUGGGCAGGAACAAAACCAUAAGUGGGCACCAUUUACCAAUCCGGCUCUUUCUGUCUCAACUGCAGCAUUUCCAGAACCCUUAAAAGUGUCCCCACUGAGGUCCUCUGUGGUUAAAGUUAAUGUAAGUGCACCCAGAGCCAGGUGGCCUGAUUGAGUCUAGAGAACAAAUGCAGGAACAGACUAGAGCUUACCCUCAGGGAGUAUUCACCUGCCUCUCUGCUCCCCUGGGCUCUGCUCCCUACCUGGUUUCAGAGCCAGUUGUUUCUUCCUACCUUUCUCAGGUGACCUCUUUGGACUUUACCUCUUGCCUGCUUAAAUUACCACUAAUCUCCAGACUGACCUGACUGUCCCUUCUUAGUCCCAGCCCCUCCCUUCUGGUUAGCUCAGUCUUGUUAAUAAUGAUACUCUAAUUGUUGUUCAAGAUGUGACUGCCCCCAAAAUCAACGUGAGAUGCUUCGUCUGGGCUGGGUGUCUAUUCUAAGAUACGCUCCUCCUUGUCACCAGCAGAAGCUCUUGUGGGUGGGUAUGGUUCCUUUUCAUGGAGGGCCCAGCUCAAGGGGGCACCAUUUGCAUCAUAAUCCAUGUGAGUGGAGCACUCUGGAAUUGUGCAACCCACAACCCCACUGAAUGCAUGCAGCAGCUCUGCCUUCAGCAGCUGAGAAGGAGAAAGCUGCUUUUUACAAUGUUUGCAAGACAUUUCCAAGUACAAUUGGUCCUGAGGUCAUGUCUUGCCCAAUUCUGAUGUUUUAGAAUGCAGGAAUCCUUCACCUACUGUGAUGGCUUCGUAAAGUGUCAACUUAGCUAGGCUGAACUACAUUUCCCAGAAUCCUCUCCCAGGUAUCUUUCCGGAGCCACAGUGAGAUUUUUGUGAGAGAUUUGAAACGCGGAAGUGAAGUGGCAUCCAUUUUCGUUUUCGUUCUGUAGGUCAGGUCAAGCACUUUUGUGGCUCACACAUGUUGUCUCUGGUCUACCUCACUGGUAUGGAGCCACUUUCCCAUGCAUCCCUCUUCAGCUUCUUUGACUCCUGGGCCAGGCAUGUGUUGGUCCUGUGAUGAAGGGCACCAGCUUCUUCCUGAGGACACCCACAUUAUCAAGGUCAGAGGCAGUGAGAACCGACAUGGGUUAGAGUCUGUGUCCUUGUGGGUUCUAGUUCAUGCUCAUGGAUUCCAGCUUGUUCUUGCUCUCCCCCGCUUCACAUCCAUCUGCCCUUCGGGACUGCUUGCCCUGCAGAUUCCAAACUCCAGCAUCAGAUGCAAAGACAACAACAGGCUUACAAAGACGGUUUAACCAAUCACGAGCCCAGUGAGAAAUCAAAUCAUCUGUCCUGAUUUCAGCUGGGGACUCUGACACCUGCUGGUACCAGGCUACAUAUUAGGCAGGACAGCAUCCCAGUGGGAAAGACACUGAGGAGGACAACCUCUUAGGCACACAGAGUUUCCAUUUUCCAAAUGGGUGCGCACUUGGAUAUCCAAAUGGAUACCAGUGGGUGUCACUGGAUACCCAGAACCUCCCUCCCAGACUAAGAACUCCUUGGCUCCAAAUCCCUGCAGUCCCCACUGAAUAGAGUGAUACCAAGGUUUCUGAAGCGCACAGACUAAAGCACGGGCUACCUUCACCACAUCUGUGUGAUCCAUCUUGUGCCUGUGGCUGAUGGUCAAACACUCUCUCCUGGAAAUUGAGUUAAGUCUCUGUGGAUUUUGUCUUUUAGCAGCCAAGCCAUUAUCCACUCCCCGGGUUUUGUGCAUUUGUCGCAUUUGCAGCAGCUGGACUAACAUCUUUGGGGUUUUGCCAUAUAUUCAUCUCUUCUAGCUAAUUUCCUUCAGAUUUAAUUGCUUUUUGAAAAUUCAG
ensembl:lncRNA